GCGGGCGUGGUGUAGAGGUAGCACAAGACCCUUCCAAGGUCUUAGCGCGGGUUCGAUUCCCGCCGUCCGCU
rnacentral:tRNA from 1 species